ACUUAAAUUGAAGAGUUUGAUCAUGGCUCAGAUUGAACGCUGGCGGCAGGCCUAACACAUGCAAGUCGAGCGGCAGCGGGAAAGUAGCUUGCUACUUUUGCCGGC
rnacentral:rRNA from 1 species